GUCAGCAGCAUACCACCUUUGGUUUAGUCUAGGUAAUCCAUCUGAAGCUAUGCAGGUUUGGGCCUGCCCAGUACUUGAUUGGGAGAUCAACUAGGAAAGCCGGAUUGCUACUGGAA
rnacentral:rRNA from 1 species